rnacentral:tRNA from 1 species
AAAAUCCGUCGACUUUAAAAAUCGUGAGGGUUCAAGUCCCUCUAUCCCCAAAUCCCCCAAAAAGCCUAUGUUUACUUCCCCGACCCUUUAUUCCCAUCCCCCCUUU